UCAUCCUCUCUCUUUCUCUCUCCUCGCCGGAGCUCGGCAGCGGAAGGCGGCGGCGAUGUCCCACUUCGGGAGAUCUGGCCCGCCGGACAUCACCGACACCUACUCCCUCCUCGUCCUCAACAUCACCUUCCGUACGACCGCCGAUGAUCUGUUUCCGCUCUUCGACAAGUACGGGAAGGUCGUCGACAUCUUCAUCCCUAGGGAUCGCAGGACGGGUGAGUCACGGGGUUUUGCAUUUGUUCGCUAUAAGUAUGCUGAUGAGGCUCAGAAAGCUGUCGAGAAGCUGGACGGAAGAGUUGUUGAUGGCCGAGAAAUCACAGUGCAGUUUGCAAAAUAUGGGCCUAAUGCUGAGAGGAUUCAUAAGGGGCGGAUAAGUGAAAACGUUCCAAGAUCAAGGAACAGAUCAAGAAGUCGCAGCCCUAGGAAGAGGCAUCGAGAUGACUACAGGGACAGGGAUAGGAGGAGAAGUCGCAGCAGAAGUAGGGAUAGGUAUGAUCGUGAUAGGCAUCGUGGGAGGGACAGAGAUGAUCGUCGGCGGAGCAGAAGCCGCAGUGCGAGUCCUGAUUACUACAAAAGUCGGGGUAGAGGUCGCUAUGAUGAUGAGCGCAGGAGCCGAAGUCGCUCAAUGGACAGUGCUUCCCCUCGGCGCAGUCCACCUCCUCGCCACAGUGCCAGCCCUGGAAGGAGUCCUUCUCCACGCAGGUCUCUCUCUCCUAGGGGUGAAAGCCCUGAUAGACGCAGUCGCGAUGGACGAUCUCCGGUUCGAAGUGUUUCGCCCCGAGGUCGGCGUUCUGAUUCUCGAAGUCCGUCGCCUAGGAAUUCAGACGCCGACGAAUAGGUGUUCUGGAAAGCUUUUUGAGAAGAUGGGGAAUGCUUGGCUCUUUAAAAAUCUCUUUUCCGCGGCUCCAACUGUUGAACCUUGAUAUGUUAUGCUCGGGAAGCUGAGCGAUGGGCAUGAUUUGUUGAUACUGUUGCUGUCGAUUCACAUGAUUGAUCGUUGGUGGAUGAUCGAGAUUUUGGUGAUGGUUGCAUCAAAUUGGCUGAUAUAGCAGUAGAUAGCAGGGCAGGACAAUAGCUAAUGUUGGCUAGAUGUUCCGAAAUGGUAAGGUCUAUUGCCGUUAAUCUUCAUUUUUAGGAAACUUAAUAUCCUUGCAGAUGCUGAUUCUUGAUUUGAUUGUUGCGAUGGUUGAUGCCGGUUCCGUCCGUAAUGAAUGAACCUGUGAGUUUGCUGUGAUGGUCUGAGGUGGCCAACGAGUGAAAAUGCUUGAUCUGUAGCGGUUGCUUCAUCUGGGCUUUGUUGAUUCAUUAAUCUCGAUGCUGAUCCGUAGUAAGCGGCUUUGUGCUGCAUCCUAGUGGUCUAUGGAGUAAGAUUGCAGAUAAAAAACGAGCUCUGAUGCACUGCUUUUACCCAUCAAAGAAAAGUUGAUGCUGCUCCGGACAGCAUGAUCGUUUUGAGUUGCAGAAGUCAGCAUUUCCUCCUGUUUUUAUGGUGAUUUUGGCCUCAACUUUUAGUUACUGGUUAAUUCCGUCAGUCUCCAAAUGAGUGGUUGAAUGAUAAACAGAUGAAUUCGUUGAGAUCAGGCUGGUUCCUGAGGCGUUCGUGGGGAUUGACUUUUGCUUGGUAAUGUCCCGUUGAAACGUGCGAGAGCUGAAGAAAAGGGCUGUUAGGACCGAGGCUUUGUUAAGCCCUCGGGAUUUACUUGGCAGUAGUCCUUUUCGCUUGGACCAUGAGAAGGUUGAGAAGCAGAGAUCGCUUUGUGGGGAAAAUGAGGGAGGGGAGAAGAAAUCUACCUUAUUGCAGAUAUUUGAACAGUGGCUAGAUUUAUUGAGCAUAAGGUGAGGUGAAGGUGAGGAUAUGCAUUGCGUUUGCAACAACUUACACUAGGAAGAGUCAUAAGUAAAUGGUCCGUGCUAGUUGUUGCUUUCUCAUUCCUCAGUCGUUUUGGCUUUUGUUUUUAUAUUUUAUCCGAGUUUUAGAUGUUACGGAAGAACCGUACCUUCAAUUAUGUGCUUCGUCACAAUAUCGAUGACGACGUAUAGGCCUUGAGAUGGAAACUUUUCGGACAGUUCUAUGA